rnacentral:rRNA from 1 species
ACGUAGGGUGCGAGCGUUAAUCGGAAUUACUGGGCGUAAAGGGCGCGUAGGCGGCCAAGCAAGUCUUGGGUGAAAUCCCUCGGCUCAACCGAGGAACUGCCUUGGAAACUGCAUGGCUCGAGGCCGGGAGAGGGAAGCGGAAUUCCGGGUGUAGCGGUGAAAUGCGUAGAUAUCCGGAGGAACACCGGUGGCGAAGGCGGCUUCCUGGACCGACACUGACGCUGAGGCGCGAAAGCUAGGGGAGCAAACAGGA